CAUCUUCUCCGAAUCCUAACAAACGCAGCGAAUUCUCUACGGUCCGGUUCAUUGGCCACCUCCGAUGGUCACAUUCGCCUGGCCAACACUUCCAUGGUCGAGGCUAUAAAUCAGGGCCCCAUGAAUCCCUCCUGGCCACCCAAAUCGAGGAAACUCGAGGAACCAAAAUCUACCAUCGUCGGAGGGAGUAGAGACCAAGGUUGCGGCCAUCGCAAGGUAUCCUUGCCCCGCCGUUGAUGCCAUCGGUGUCCAAGACCUCAUGACCUCGGCAAGUGGCGCAUAUGGGAUCACCAGGGUCUAUGGGGCUUCAUCGAAGGUGCUGCCAAACCUAGGGAUCGCCGGAGUCGCAUGGAUUGCUCACCAAAGUUCUUCUCAGCCGCCGAGCCGCUCCACGCGUGGGCGGGGGCAUUGUCACCCUAAAUCCGCGGUCAAAAGCAGGUACCACAGGAUGAGGCGCAUGAAGGAUGCUGUGAUGAGUUCGUGAGUGGUCUAGUUCGUCGUCUCCUAGUCAACUUUGGGUUGCUGGAUCGUUGUCUUCAUAUGAUGUAAUUAUUUAUCUAUUUUAUACAGAACUUCGUUAUAUAAUAAUGAUGUGACAUUCAUUUCUGUACCAUGGGUCAUCAUAUGUGUGAGACUUGAUCCUAGCACA